AACGCGAAGAACCUUACCUGGGCUCGAACGGCUCACGAAAGUCUUUGGAAACAGAGAUUUCCCGCAAGGGACGGGAGUCGAGGUGCUGCAUGGCUGUCGUCAGCUCGUGUCGUGAGAUGUUGGGUUAAGUCCCGCAACGAGCGCAACCCUUGUCCUGUGUUACCAUGCCGAAAGGCGGCACUCGCAGGAGACCGCCAGCGAUAAGCUGGAGGAAGGUGGGGAUGACGUCAAGUCCUCAUGGCCUUUAUGUCCAGGGCUACACACGUGCUACAAUGGGCGGUACAAAGCGCUGCUAAGCCGCAAGGCGGAGCCAAUCGCAAAAAGCCGCUCUCAGUUCGGAUUGCAGGCUGCAACUCGCCUGCAUGAAGCUGGAAUCGCUAGUAAUGCUAUAUCAGAACGAUAGCGUGAAUACGUUCCCGGGCCUUGUA
rnacentral:rRNA from 1 species